AGCUAUCUAUAAAAAGAGUGCCCUCCACUUCCUAUUUCUUGCACUUGAUUUAUUUUUUCUCGAUAGUAGCUAUCAUUUACUUUAUUAUACUUAUGUAAAUUAAUAUGUUUAUUAUAUAUUGCUUACUUACCUAAUGCCCAUAUUCCUCCCAAUAGAAUGCAUACUACACAAAGGCAGGGGUUUUGUUUUACCUAUUUCAUUUACAGUUCUAUCCCUGCCACCUAAGGGUGGCUCCCACUCAUGGAAGGUUCUCAAUGUAUAAAUGGCGAACUGUGAACACAUGAAUAUAUAAAUUGGUGACGACUCUCACGCAGAUUUCCUGGUGGGGAUGCCCAGCGGAGAGCUGGUGCAGCAUAUGAACUGGCUGAAGCACACAGUUCCACCGAAGUAGUGGGUCCUCUUAAAGGGAAUGGAAUGGGAUUGAAAUCUUCCCCAUGUGUAAGAGUCUAUCAGUCAAUUAUGAAGUCCCUCCAGGAACCUAUGUAUCUCUCAGGACACAUCAACUAAGUAAUAAAACACCAAUGUGUGACCAAUGUGUAAUAUGAGAAAAUGCUAAUAUCAAGAUUUAUUCAAUGUGUGUUUAUAUUCUGACUUUUCAUUAUUUCUUUAUCUCACCAAGCAUUUGUUUGUUCAGCUCUAUAGUCCAUUUAUAUGAAUGGUUUGCAUUUUUAUUUCAUAUGAUUUAAAAAAAUUAUUGGUAAUAAAUUAUAAGCAUCUACUACUAGUCUUUUUUCCCCCCAGUGAAACAUAAUUUUAACCUGGAGGAAUACAGCCUCUCUCAGUGCACGUUGGAAAAGGUAUUGGUAGAGCUUUCUAAGGAGCAGACGGUGGGAAAUUUUGACGAAGAGGUUGAUACAACCAUGAGAUGGAAACUCCUCUCUCAUUCAGACGACCCAUGAAACCCAGUCAUUCCUUGCUGAUGUCCUAUAAGCUUAUGUUAUAUGUAAUAAUUUGCAUUUUAUAUAAUUUUUAAAAAUUGUCAGCAUCAAUAUUGGGUACAUUUUGUAUAUUUAGUUAAUAAAUGAAUACAUUGUAAAAUUAUUCUUCCCCUCAAAUUUAGGGACAAUAGAAAGUGUUAAUGAAGUUAUCUGAAGAACCAGGCACUGGGUUUUGAAUAAAUAAAACCACAAACUUGGAA